AUUGAACGCUGGCGGCAUGCUUUACACAUGCAAGUCGAACGGCAGCGCGGGGCAACCUGGCGGCGAGUGGCGAACGGGUGAGUAAUAUAUCGGAACGUACCCAAGAGUGGGGGAUAACGUAGCGAAAGUUACGCUAAUACCGCAUACGAUCUAAGGAUGAAAGUGGGGGAUCGCAAGACCUCAUGCUCCUGGAGCGGCCGAUAUCUGAUUAGCUAGUUGGUGAGGUAAAGGCUCACCAAGGCGACGAUCAGUAGCUGGUCUGAGAGGACGACCAGCCACACUGGAACUGAGACACGGUCCAGACUCCUACGGGAGGCAGCAGUGGGGAAUUUUGGACAAUGGGCGCAAGCCUGAUCCAGCAAUGCCGCGUGAGUGAAGAAGGCCUUCGGGUUGUAAAGCUCUUUUGUCAGGGAAGAAACGGUAGAGGCUAAUAUCCUUUGCUAAUGACGGUACCUGAAGAAUAAGCACCGGCUAACUACGU
rnacentral:rRNA from 1 species